rnacentral:rRNA from 1 species
UACGGAGGGUGCAAGCGUUAUCCGGAUUCACUGGGUUUAAAGGGUGCGUAGGCGGGCAGGUAAGUCAGUGGUGAAAUCUCCGAGCUUAACUCGGAAACUGCCAUUGAUACUAUUUGUCUUGAAUAUUGUGGAGAUAAGCGGAAUAUGUCAUGUAGCGGUGAAAUGCUUAGAUAUGACAUAGAACACCAAUUGCGAAGGCCGCUUACUACACAAUGAUUGACGCUGAGGCACGAAAGCGUGGGGAUCAAACAGG